AACUUGAGAUUAAUUUCAGCCAAGAUCAAAGUUAAAUCACGGCAAGGUUCCAAAGAAACAUCGAUCAAAUAAUGUCUACACAAUGAAAACAGUGCAUUGUUUGAGCAAAAGAAGGCACUCCGUCAAAAUUUGAACCGAAACACAGGCUAUUUUAAUUCAUGAAUUUUCACAAACACCUGGUAGGCAUCUGGGCUUACGGAUUUUAGAACCAAAUCGCUGCUAAUUGGGGUCGUUCAAACCGCCCGGACUGCUAGAGGAAGAGGGCGUGAUGAAGAACGAAUAUGGAGGAGUGUGAACUCAGAGACUCAGUUUGAGAUAUGGCGUCUAGAGAGAGAGAGAGAGAGAGAGAGAGAGAGAGAGAGAAUGGAGUCGGUCGUCAUCCGGUGAUGGACGAUCGGCGAUGAGACUGCGGCGGUUGGAAGCGGUGAC
rnacentral:lncRNA from 1 species